CCACCUUGCCCUGCCCUCCCCCAUCAGAGGAUGGGAAGGGGCGGGGGAGUUGAGGUAGGCCUUUAUAAGGAAGCAGAAAGCUUGGUCUUGGUCUAUGGUUGCAGCUUUUAGGAGGCCACGGCUUUUACUCCCAACAGGCCCACUGAGACUAAUGGGGCCACACUACUGGGAGGGGGCAGUGUUUCUCAAAGCAUGGUCUUUAGACCGUCUGAGUGAGAAACCCCGGGGCAAUGAUUUCGCUGGUUCCCAGUCAGAUCUGCCACUGCCGAAUCUGUGAUGAGGCCCAGAAAGCUCCUGACAGACGGUGCCUCUGUGUGCAGCAACAGGAGACCACGGCGGUCUCACCUGGAAACUCUUCCACAGUUGUCAUUUCAGCAGCGCUCCACAAGUGGUAGCUAAAUGACAAAUAUCUUCCAGCAAAAGGUGCAGGAAUGUGCGAGCGAGAAGAAGGUGCAGUGGGAGCUGACUGGCUCCUGGUUCUGACAUCGUCCCGCUUCCCUGGUGCCCUGCAAGGAGGCCCAUUGCUCCCCUGUGAUGGCACUCACUCUGGAUGACAGUCAUCAAGUCCAAACCCAGAGCUUCUGUUCUGAUUGCAGGGUGCCUUCAUUAGCAGGGUCACGUGGUUGGAGAAUCUAAGCACCGACCCGUGAAAUGCAUUUAAGUUAAUGAGCUCAUCCACUGCUGUGAGCAGUGCCUCCAGGAGGACCCCCAUGAAGGAUCAGCACCCACACUCCAUCCACAGAUGAUCUGGGGCAGGUGUAACCAGAACGUGCUGCAUGGCACCCUGGCUGUGGGCACCAUCCCGCCCUCUCUGCGGGAGAGAAGAGUGUUUUACUGCAGCCAAAUUCCAGGCACAAAGCUGGUGAUUCCAGCCAGUAGGGCUGCUAGAGCCAGGGGUCCUACUCCCGUUUGACAGCAGUGUGUCUCCAGCGAAGAUGCUUACCUGCUGCCAUAUCAAGAAAGGGGAGACCAGUGCCAGCCAUUAUGCACGCUGUAGGUGACCAACAGCUCAGAUGUGCUGUCGACCCACAAAGACUCUCUCACUUAGACACGAAGACACCCGUAUUUGCACAGACACCGGGGGAAGAGACACAGGAGGGAGAGCAGGGUGGAGGUUGUGGCUUUGCGCCUGCACACCCAUGAAGAAGGAGUGGACUCGAGGCACAGUUUUGAGAACAUGGUCCGUCUCUUUCUCUAGGAAACUCACAAGCCCUGCACAGGUGACUCCUGAGUCUCCACACACACACUGACAGCCAUUCGGGGGUGUGAGGUUCCGUCUAGAAAACUACCACUGCCAACACCUGCAGCAAGGGGCCCGUUAACGCAGAUCACAGGUGGAGGGAGGCGCAGCCCAAGGCCUUCCACUGCGCAGGAAACAACCGUGUUAUUCUGAGCUUUCCUUCCAGAUUGCUAAUUCCUGUUUCUGAAAAUCUUCCUGAUUCUUCGAGUGCUAAGAAGCACUUACCUCAUGCCUCCAUCUGUUCCUUUAUCCUGGCUCCUCUUUUUGGAUCACACGGCCGCUCUCUCAGAAGUGUUUGACUCCUCAUCAGUGAAGGUUCAGGAAGUCUGUUAGUGGCUCCCAAAAUGUCUGCCUUUCACCUUCCAAGAAAAUCCUGCAGCCACGGAGGGCAGGACGCUGAAGAAAGAAACGCAGCUCUCCCGGUGCGGGCGGCUUGGCCCCCAGAAGGGCCUGGAUCCGAGUUAACUCUGCAGCACCUCGGGGCAUCUUUCACUGUUGAGGAGAGAAAUCUGCUUCACACUUAAUCACAAAAUCCAGAUCUCACACUGCUAUAAAAAGAAGUGAUUUCAAUCAAGCCCAGCAAAUUGGAGCAAAAUGCCAACAACGAGGCAGGACAUCUGCUGCCAUUUGAUCGUCCCAGGGCAGCCAGCAGGCAGCAGGGUCAGAAUGGAGGCCACAGCCACACUCUGUCCUCGAGUGGGGGACAAAGGACAAGAUGGGUGUACACACACACACACACACACACACAAUCACACAAAUAUACACACAUGCAAACACAUAAACGUCUACACACA
rnacentral:lncRNA from 1 species